UUCAAUCAUCACAGUUAAAGAUCAAGAAACAGAUUCUUCAGGAACCUCAGCAGUUAGUUAUAAUCAUGUUCAUGCUUUCUUCCUUCUACUUCCUGCCCAAUUUAGGCUGCUGGACACAAGACUCAAGAGGAACUUUAAAGUCCCAAUGGCAGAGAGCAAUCAAAGAAAAAAUAACUGAGCUGUUAUUACUAAACUGCAGUUCUGUUGCGAAGAUGAAUUGUGCCACUUUGCAGAUGAGACAACACAAAAGGUAAGAUGCCACGUACAAAAGCUAAGAAAAGAGAAGACUCGGGAAAAAAACACCCCAAGGAAAACACACAGGUUUCGACAUGAUUGGAGACAAAAAGUGAACUAAUGAACGAAAGGAAUUAAAUGUUUCAUUGGAUUUAUUUAAAGUAUCCAAACCACUGAUGGGGCAAAAUACAGG